GAAGGCGUGAGCUAGCUCUUCCCAGCUAUGGAUCUUUGAGUUGUCUAAUCUUGUAUACCAUGAACGAGAUUCUCCAGUCAGACUCUUCUGGAAUAGCUGCAUUUUGAGCUUCUCAUUUUCCGCGCAAGAUCCAAGUUCUCCAGUGAACACCUUCAAAUAUGUAUAAGGAUCCCCUAAUCCGUCAUACUUUUCAAAGUCAGGGGUUUUAAAUUUCUCUGGAUAAUGAACACCAGGGAAUAUGCAAAGGUCAGCAUAUGAAACACUUCCAUGUGUUCAAAUCCCUUUGAGAGCACGGAUAGUUUCCUCCAUUUGAAGGACCUUCUUCCUAAUAUCACCAGUGUCUAGAUCUCCUUUGAGAUGGGUGUUUUCAGUGUCUUUGUUGGUCAUAUCCAAUUGAGAUUCUGGAUUUAUUUUAUCCAAACCUUGUGUUACUCCUUGUGUAGAGGAUUCUGUAUGUGUAGGCAUCUUUGAACCCUGAGUAGAUUGAUGUAAUUCUUUUAGCAGAACAACCAAAUCUGUAAUUUGUAGACUCAAUCCGUCAAAUUCUUCUCGAGAAACGGCAUUAGACUGGUCAGAAGAAGACAUGAUUGGCUGUAAGCUCGUGGCCUUUUUUCGAUUUUGAGCGGGUAACUGUAGAGUCCCCGAAUCCGGAUACUUGAAACCCAAACUCGGUACUUUACG
rnacentral:lncRNA from 1 species